GGCGGUUCUGUAAUGCCGCGCUGUGGGACGAGGGCCGCGUGGGUUGCGGUUCCUGGAGGAACGUUUCUUAGCGUGUGCUCGGGCCCUUUGCGGCUCUACUUAAAGCGUUGCCCUGGGGCGGCUCAGCCCUGCCCUCAGCAGAGCCCUGCCCUCAGCUCCCGGCCGACCGCGGGCGUGCGGGCUGCAGCGGGGGAACGAACCGCUCGCUGGUUCCGUGCGGGUGCGCUGAGCAAAGCCUAAGUGAGCCUCUGCUGCUCCGUGUGUUCGCACGGGCCUUGCCGGGUUCUAAAUAUGAAGCGCUGAUUGCGCUGUGUCCCGUGCUUUCUUCACCCGUACUUGCUAUUGUCCCUGCGUCGGGAACCUUUCUGGUGAGUGGGAAAGCUAUGAGAAAUUCUGUGCUAAGCUGGUGCAGAAGUCGUGUGGCAGAAUGGAAACAGCUUGGGCUCAGUGAUGCCCUUCUUAGUGGGGGGAAUGGUGUGCUCGUGUGAGCUCCAGGCAGGGGCUGCUGCUGGUGGAGAUGUGGCAGAGCCCGGAGGAGGCACAAACACACACCUCUCGUUUGACUCGAGCACUGAUCCUGCAGCAAUUAAGGGAUGGAUAUCAGUAAUUUUGUAGGCAGGUGUCUGUUAGGAGAAGGGGAUUUAAAAAAAUAAAUAAAUAAAUAAAAAUAAAAAUCAAAGUUUUGGCACAUCUUAAUUAACUUGUCAGUCUAGUUAACAGAUAACCAAACCUGCAGGAACUCUGCAGAGCUGAAACAACAACACUUAACGAGAACUUACUGUGGGAUUGCAGCUGACUUGAAAAUGUAGCUCAGAGAGAACAGAAGACAAAGCUGAUAAGAAGGUGGAAGGAUUGCAACAGCCUGCGAAGCCAUCUGCUCCAACAAACGUUCGUGGCAAAAUGAGAGACGGAUGUAUCUAGCAGCAACCAGCAGCAGCUUUUUGAGAGGCAAAGCCAAAAGAAGGGCAGUAUCUCCUGUGCUCUGGUUUGACUCCAUUUACCGUUAAGCUGAGAUAACUUGCUGCCAAAGUCUCAAGUAGCAGGCCAUCCAGCCUAGCAAAACACAGAGGCCCCAAACAAAAGGCCAAAAUCUCAAGUGCCUGCAUGCUGCCACCUGAGAAGACAUUUUCUAAGAUCGUGCUGUGCCAGCCCUGCCUGAUGAAUUUCAGAGGUAAGACAGGUGACUGCUUAGCUGGAGUGGUACAAUGAAGGAUCAGGGCAUGUGUUAAUGGAAGUCAGAGGUUAUUUAAUUGGAAGCCUAACUUAAUCAGUAUGUGUGUCUAGAGAUUGAAAUAGAAACAAGGUCUACCCAUAUUCUAGGGAUUGUGCACUAGGCAUAGAAUUAUUUAUAAAAGGACUGUUUUACAGGAUUAAUAAGAUGAUAUAUUAAAUUCCAUCUUCUUGACAUUCAUGCAGUCAGGUCAGAUUUGGUGUUUUUUUUUUCUUUGACUUUAGGUUAGUUAACUGUCAAGACUCAAAUUUCAAACACAUGUAAAUUGUGCUGUAUCCUAGUUACUGUUCUCUGAGUGCUUAUUUUUAACCAGGCACCGAAACUUCUAAAAUUCAAGCUGUUAGUUAGGUGACACUGCAUGGCCAGUAAUUAAUGUCAGUAUAUCAGACUUUCACUGUCUGCUUCAUAUUUAAAGUUAAUGCUUCUGGUCCCCCGAGGACAAGACAAUAUGUGAAAUGCAAGGGAAGAAAGAUACCGCAGAGAUUUAGUCCCUUAAGAAGGCAAGUUCAUUUAUGCUAUGGGCAAAAACAGUGCUUCUAAACAUUUUCUCCAGUAUUGCCCUCAGUGUCUGAAAGUCAGUUCUCAGCACACUAAGACAAGGUGCACAGUGAAGCCUGAAUGUACCUAUUUUCUUCUUGGUGAUUGCUAUACACAGUCAGUAUAUUUUUGGCAUUUCUAUCUUGAGUUUGUGAUCCAUUUAAUACACCUGGUUUGUUUGUAACUGCAUGAGGGGACAGCAUGAAGUAAAGAAUAAUAAAAGUAUUUUGUAUCCAUACAUUCCCUGGUAAAGAUUCAGAGGAGGAAUAGCACUGUUUUGUUU